rnacentral:rRNA from 1 species
AGUGAACGCUGGCGGUAGGCCUAACACAUGCAAGUCGAACGGCAGCACAGGAGAGCUUGCUCUCUGGGUGGCGAGUGGCGGACGGGUGAGAAAUACAUCGGAAUCUGCCCAGUCGUGGGGGAUAACGUAGGGAAACUUACGCUAAUACCGCAUACGACCUUCGGGUGAAAGGGGGGGGGCGCAAGACCUCUCGCGGUUGGAUGAGCCGAUGUCGGAUUAGCUAGUUGGCGGGGUAAUGGUCCACCAAGGCGACUAGCCGUAGGUGGUCUGAGAGGAUGAUGAGCCACACUGGAACUGAGACACGGUCCAGACUCCUACGGGAGGCAGCAGUGGGGAAUAUUGGACAAUGGGCGCAAGCCUGAUCCAGCCAUACCGCGUGUGUGAAGAAGGCCUUCGGGUUGUAAAGACCUUUUGUUGGGAAAGAAAUCUUUCAGGCUAAUACCCUGGGAGGAUGACGGUACCCAAAGAAUAAGCACCGGCUAACUUCGUG